CCAACCUCACUUCCGCGAUCCCCUCGAUGUCUCCAAAUCAAACGCCGGAAACCACCACCUAUCAUCGUACUUCUCCGAUCUGUUCUUCUUCCGUCGUUACCCCACCGUCCAAACAUCGACGACCCUCAAAAGCCAACGCAUGCACCGUCAAAGACUCAUCAUACAACCAAUAUGCGAGCAAUGUAUUCCUCGCCGCUCAAGCAACUUUUCCGGCAAAUAUCACAACCGGAUUCCAGCAAUCGUCGUCGCCGCUUCGCCGCGCAAUCUCGACGUUUUGUUUAAAACACAUGUUUCGUCGUUGUUAAGGAUAUCAAGACUUAGCUUCC
rnacentral:lncRNA from 1 species